CGUGCUGGGGCUAAAAUACCUUUCUUUUCUUGUGAGAUUACCUCUGAUAAAGUAAAUCAACCCAAAACUCAGAGGAGUUCUAUCUUUCGAUUUCCAUAUAACAAUUUUUACAAGGCUAAUCAAAGGCAAUUGUUAAGGAAACAAAUUCACAAUGUCCUAGAUAGUGGAAGCUAUGAAUCUCUGGAAAUCUCGUCUGAGUUGGAAGAGGGGCUCGCUCAAGCCAUUGAGGAAGCAGAAGCAGCCUGGGAAAUAAGUAAAAGCCUUGAAGUCUCUUUUCAAGGAGACUGUGAAGGGAAUUGCUGAAGCAGUAUCCCUUUUGGAAGAAGACCUUGAUGAAAGAUUGCUUAUUCACAUAUAUAUGUUAUAGCCUAAGGAGUUAGACAUGUUGAAAUUGUACAGUCAUCAAAUAUUUCAUCAAGCAGCUUGCGGCCUUAUAACUUCAGAAUGGGAAGGGUCUUAACUUCUCUUCAAACUUUUAAGUGCUUCUACCACUUUGAUCUCAGGCUGCCUAUAUAUCAAGAGAAAGCAUCAAAACCUGAGACACUUGUCGGUGUUCUCCGUAAUGGAAUUUCAAAUUAUGUUCAAGAGCUGUGAGGUGCAAAAGCUAUGAUCGAUGGGAACCUUGUUGUUAAUGAUGAAACUUGCACAACAGACGGUUUGCAUGAAGUUGAGUUGCUUCUACCAUUCAUGAAGGAUAUGUACAUUCCUAUCAAAAAAAUGAAGGAUAUGUACAUCGGAGGUUCUCUGGCCAUUUCAAUUUUGAACUCAAUUAUAUUUUUAUGUUUUUUAUAAUGUUAAAUCUAACAUUUAAUAAUUUGCUUAAAUUUUGUGAAGCAUGCAGCCAGAAAGAUGUUGUAGGUAUUCUCAAUUUUACUGGUUCUGUACGUUCCUUUUCAUUCUUGAAUUCAAAGGAACCAAUUUCACAGGCUGUUGCUGAUAUAAAAGUACUCAUUUCUUGGUUUGGAUAACAACUUGGUCUUUUUUUUAAUAUAUAUACUAGAGAAGUUUUGGGAUGUAAAUUUUCAUCCUAAGAGAUAAAUGUUGCAUCUUUAUGUAAGAUAACAACGAGCAAGUUAGAUAUGUUUCAAAUGUUUAUCUAACUGGUUGUGAUUGGAAUAGAAAUUUUGGAAAAUAUAUGAAAUUAUCUGAUUUAGUUGAGUUGAUCAGUACAAAUGUGUGCACCGAGACUCUAACAUUCUCUUACAGAUCAAAAGACAUUCUAACCCUACAACUUUGGUCUGAAGAGUCUCUUUCCACCUUAUGUCAUAUAUGGUUUAAAUUAGAGUUAGCAUACCUCUCAGUUGUAAAUUGUGCUUCUGUAUGCAUGGUGCAGGAUUUUUCAUGUAGCUAUUAUUUUCUCUUAAUUGACAUGUCAUACUUUAUUUGGUGAUAUGCUUUAAACAAAGCAUAUACUAUAUUUUAUCUUCCUUUCGUUUUUAUUGAGUUGUAGUUUCUCUUCAUUUAUAGCAAUCGUGACUAGUCAAUUCUUUAAAGACCCUUGUAAUUCUUCAGCAUAGAAAUAAGAACUUGAAAUGUUAACAUUCAGAGGUUAUUUGUAUGUUCUCAAUCCCAGAAGAAUAAACGGCCUUAUUCACUUGAGUGACAUGUGCUUGAUGUUCUUUUCUUAUGCAAUUGUUUAUGGCUCUGAUCAGGAUGAUAUCAUCAGGAGUUUGCUAAACAGGUUGGAUAUCAUUUGUGAUGAAGUGGAUGAAAAUGUAUGGCCAAAUGACGAUGUAAUUAAGGAAACAAGAAAUGACCCAUUGUCUGAAAAGCCGGUUUCCCAACU